CCUAGUUCUCAUUUUCUCUCAUCCCGCCGCCUACUACCACUCAUUCCCUCAGGAGUGCCAUCAUUUUCACUCUCACAAGAGAACAAAGCUUUCAGCGAUUUGUAAUCGGACAAAACUUGAUGGAGUGAAGGAAGAGUUACAGUCACAUAUCAACACGGUUGAUGGUGCUUCAGAUUGAUGCAUGAAGUGAAUCACAUUAUUUUGAAGAAUUUAAUAUUUUAUUUGUAAAUUUAAAUUGAUAUGUUGUUCUUUGUUGUUGAUGUAUGGUGUCAUGGUCAUGUUUAAUUUUACAAAGC